rfam:Rhodospirillum centenum SW, complete genome.
GGGCCUGUAGCUCAACGGUUAGAGCCGGCCGCUCAUAACGGUCUGGUUGCAGGUUCGAAUCCUGCCGGGCCCA